rnacentral:rRNA from 1 species
AGUUUGAUCCUGGCUCAGGACGAACGCUGGCGGCGUGCUUAACACAUGCAAGUCGAGCGAUGAAGCUCCUUCGGGAGUGGAUUAGCGGCGGAAGGGUGAGUAACACGUGGGUAACCUGCCUCAUAGAGGGGAAUAGCCUUUCGAAAGGAAGAUUAAUACCGCAUAAGAUUGUAGUACCGCAUGGUACAGCAAUUAAAGGAGUAAUCCGAUAUGAGAUGGACCCGCGUCGCAUUAGCUAGUUGGUGAGGUAACGGCUCACCAAGGGGAGGAUGGGUAGCCGACCUGAGAGGGUGAUCGGCCACAUUGGGAGUGAGACACGGCCCAGACUCCUACGGGAGGCAGCAGUGGGGAAUAUUGCACAAUGGGGGAAACCCUGAUGCAGCAACGCCGCGUGAGUGAUGACGGCCUUCGGGUUGUAAAACUCUGUCUUUGGGGACGAUAAUGACGGUACCCAAGGAGGAAGCCACGGCUAACUACGUGCCAACAGCCGCGGUAAUACGUAGGUGGCAAGCGUUGUCCGGAUUUACUGGGCGUAAAGGGAGCGUAAGUGGAUAUUUAAGUGGGAUGUGAAAUACUCUGGCUUAACCUGGGUGCUGCAUUCCAGACUGGAUAUCUAAAGUGCAUGAGAGGAAAGGAGAAUUCCUAUUGUAGCAGUGAAAUGCAUAUAGAUUAGGAAGAAUACCAUUGGCGAAUGCGCCUUUCAGGACUGUAACUGACAGUGACGCUCGAAAGCGUGGGGAGCAAACAGGAUUAAAUACCCUGGUAGUCCACGCCAUAAACUAUGAAUACUAUGUGUACGGGUUGUCAUGACCUCUGUGCCGCCGCUAACGCAUUAAUUAUUCCGCCUGGGGAGUACGGUCGCAAGAUUAAAACUCAAAGGAAUUGACGGGGGCCCGCACAAGCAGCGGAGC